UACGGAGGGGGCUAGCGUUGUUCGGAAUUACUGGGCGUAAAGCGCACGUAGGCGGCUUUGUAAGUUAGAGGUGAAAGCCCAGGGCUCAACCCUGGAAUUGCCUUUAAGACUGCAUCGCUUGAAUCAUGGAGAGGUGAGUGGAAUUCCGAGUGUAGAGGUGAAAUUCGUAGAUAUUGGGAAGAACACCGAUGGCGAAGGCAGCCAUCUGGACCGGCACUGACGCUGAGGCGCGAAAGCGUGGGGAGCAAACAGG
rnacentral:rRNA from 1 species